rnacentral:rRNA from 1 species
GACGAACCGUCCAAACGUUAUUCGGAAUCACUGGGCGUAAAGCGCACGUAGGCGGCUUUCUAAGUCAGGGGUGAAAUCCUGGAGCUCAACUCCAGAACUGCCUUUGAUACUGGGAGCUCGAGUCCGGAAGAGGUGAGUGGAACUCCGAGUGUAGAGGUGAAAUUCGUAGAUAUUCGGAAGAACACCAGUGGCGAAGGCGGCUCACUGGUCCGGUACUGACGCUGAGGUGGCGGAAAGCGUGGGGAGCAAACAGG